CUCCUGCAGGGAAGCAGGUGCAUUGCACAGCAGGGACACACAAGGGACCUUUUGCAGAACAAAGUGGGUUUGCUUCAAGCUGGGACCUGAUUCCACCUUGACCAUGAAGCAAGACUACUUUUUAAGAUCUAGCCUCUCUCUUCACAAUCAACAGCAGGACUUCUCGAACCUUCAAGUAUCUAUGAAUUCCCUGGGAGUCCUGUUCAGAUUCUGAUUCAGUCGGCAGAGGCAGGGGCCUGGGAUCCUGCAUUUCUAACACACCCCCAGGUGAUAUCUUUGUUGCUUUCCUAGGACCAGACUUUGGCAACCAUGGUCUCUGGCCCCAGUCCUUAGUAUCUGCCAGGUGGCAAACAGUAGGUGAUGGGUAAAUUUUUGCUGACUGGAUUAAAUAAUUCAUCCUGACUACAAUGUUGACAACAGAAACCAUGGAUUGAGCUCUUUGUAUCUGACAAGCACUGCGGGUGUCUACAGCAGAGAUGCACCUCGUGCUCUGUAUCCCUCGCCGACUCACAGAUGAGCUAUUCUGAGGUACCUUCUGCGAGAAUGAGUCUGCAGACCUCACCAGACUGUGUGUGUGACCUCAGAAGAGAGGGGAACAGAUGCUUUAGACAAAGACGAUGGUCUCUGUGGAGGAUUAUCCUGAUGGAUUUAAUUUACUUUUCAGAAUUUCCAGAGGAUGGAGUUCCUGCUUGAAUUCUCUGAGCUACAUUUGAGCCAAGGCCCAUGUCUUCUUGGCCAGCGGGCCUGUGAACUUGGCUGUCCCUACGGCACAUAACAGGACGUGCCAGUGGAGCAGGAAUGCUGGCCUGGGCUGCAGGGGGCCUCUCCAGAAUUCCACUUCCCACCAAGAGAGAGGUGGGUGCUGCAGGAUGAUCUAAGAUGAAGGUGUCAUCUUCUAGUUUGGCCACUAGGCCGCGCUCUUGGUCUGCAGUCGGGGUCCUCCAUCUGCUCGGUGCCAGCGCUUCAUUCAAAAGGAUGAUGGCUACCAACUUACAAAGUAUAAAGUCACACCAAAAUGAUCAAUAGUGAACGGGAUGGGGCAGAUGAUUAGCUGCAUCCCGACUCCCCUGUGUCUGCAGGAUUGACAGCACCGUGCCCACGCUGCACACUCACAUUCACCCCGAGAAGCCACAGGUUGCCAGCUCUUUCAGAGGGAUCUGCCUUCCUCCUGCAAAGCUUUCUCGCUACUUAGCAUAAGGCGGAUGGAAAAUGAUCCCUCUAGGUACAGAUUUCCAGCCCCAAUUUAGUUUGGCAACAUUAGACUGUGCAACUCACAAGAGCUUCCCCGGGGCAUGAGCAGGAAGUUCUAAGUGUGUGGGCUGCAGG